GAAACCUCUCAACCACCCCUUCAAAAGGUGGCUUGGAAAUGGGGGACUGCUGCAGGCUUUUGAAGUCUGCUCCCCUGAAAUGCAUUAGUGGUGUAUGGGCUGACUGCCACAGGUGUGAUAACUAUCAGUGCCUUGGUGGAAACCUUGCUGCUUCCAACUCAUAUUAUGACCA
rnacentral:misc_RNA from 1 species